GUGCACACAAGAGGGUGGGGAGGGGCACACAGAGAGAGAGCAUCUCAAGCAGACUCCACAUCUACUGGGAGCCCACCAUGGGGGUUGAUCUCACGACUGAGAUCAUGACUUGAGCUGAAACCAAGAGUUGGACGCUUAACCAACUGAGCCACCCAGGUGCCCCUAAAGAGUUUCUUUUUAAGUACUCUCUCCUCCCAGCGUGGGGCUCGAACUUAACCAUCUGGAGAUCAAGAGUUAUGUGCUCCACCAACUGAGCCAGCCCGGUGCCCCUGUGCUCUCUCGUUUUCUAAACUUCAAAAUAACCUCCUUCCUGGGCUCGGCAAAAUCCUGGGCUAGCUCAGCAAUGUAUAACCAAACGACAACCGUCUCUCUAAAAGCAGGAAGCUUUUAUUGCAGCUGGGGAGAGGCUGCCUGGGAGUCAGGAGACGUGAGGGAAUUCCACGCCUGGUCCUGCCGCCGCUCUGCUGGGUGAGUCCCUGUGUUUUUCUGGUCUCGGUUUCCUCAUCUAUUACACGCUAGAGUUGGAAUGUGGCAGCAUUUACAGUGCCUGCCAGCUCUGAAAAGAUUCUACGAAAUGGCAGGGCAGUGAAACGGUUCUCAGGCUCUUCUGCUGAGACUUCUUGGUUCCUCUUGUUUGACAGCCUCUAAACUUUAAUUUUCUUCCCCUUUCCCGUGACCUGCAUGCCCAACGGAGACACCUCAGUAUCCCCUCUACUGUCACGGCCAGGAAGAUGCCCCGCGGUUUCUGCGGACUCUCUGCCAGGUGAGCUGUGGCUGGGGGAGCCGGGCUGCCUUCCACUGUGCUCUGCCGCACACCAUGGUUCCUGGGAUAGGACCACUGGAGAUGCGCAUGAGAAAAGAAGCAUGUGGCUGCCUACCAACAACCGGGAAACUCUGCAUUUAUGCCACGUUCAAGGAGAUUCAAGGGCAGGGAAUACAGACCCCACCUCUCAAAGGGAGGAGUGUCAACAUCGCUUUAACAGCACUUCAACCUUCCUUCAGGCCAGAGAAGUGCUUCGAAGCCUGAUGGUCUUUCCACCAAACUACUUAUAUCGUCUAUACCAAAGGCCUAGAGGAAGCCCCAUUAAGACUGAGUAAGGCUGCGCAGUAGCAAAGCAGAGAGAUCUGACACCAUCUGCCGACUGUUCAUGGCCCAGGGAGACAUCUGUGGGCUUUGGAGCCUGAUGACCCAGCUGUGCAUCCCAACUUGACCAUUAGUAGCCAUGGGACAUGUCAUACGUGUCACGUCUCGGAGUCUCAGUUUCCUCAUCUGCAACAAAGGGAAUCUGAACACCUGCUUUGUGGGUUCUUGUGCAGAUUCAAUGAAGGAAAAUGUGUGUCUACUCAGCGCAGUGCUUUGCAUAUGGUUCAUUAAAUAUUCAUUGUCUUUACCCGCGGGAGAGCGACUGUGGGCUCAGAUGAGAUCAUGGAGACGGACGUAAUCUGUGAAGACUCAUCUCUGUGCCAGUUGGAAUCGUGAUGUGGUUUGACAUUGACUCAUUCCUGUCUGGAUGGGUCUGGAGUAGACAGAGUCUAAGUAUCUCUCAGGUGAGAGAAACGGGGUAAGAACUGGCAGAGGGGAAUAUGGGAGUGUGGCCGUGGCCACUCGUGCAGGCUCCAAGAGCUAAUGGGCAGAGCGAGUUUUGAAAAUGUUUCUGCAAGGCUGUGUGAACUCUUUUCAGUCACCAAAUGACCAAAUUUAUGAAGGAUUCUGAAAUAGAAUGGAAGCUCAAGAGUUCAUGCUGUAUCCCAAGAGUGAUUUAUGUCAGAAUUGGACCAAAUAAUUUCCCGGGUUGUUAAAUUGACCGUUGGGACACAGACAUAUUAAAUAUUAUCAAAUAAACUUGGACUAUAGUUAAGAGUCAGUUUUAUGGGUUGGCCACAUUAAAAAAAAUUUUUUUUUGUAUUGGAAAUUGUAUUUAAAUCUGCAAUGAAUAUAGUCAUUGCGAUGUAAAGAACGGUCGUGGACCAGCAAGGGAGAACCAGCUGCAGGAG
rnacentral:lncRNA from 1 species